rnacentral:rRNA from 1 species
GCAGUAGCCGCGGUAAUACGUAGGUGGCAAGCGUUGUCCGGAAUUAUUGGGCGUAAAGGGCUCGCAGGCGGUUUCUUAAGUCUGAUGUGAAAGCCCCCGGCUCAACCGGGAGGGUCAUUGGAAACUGGGAAACUUGAGUGCAGAAGAGGAGAGUGGAAUUCCACGUGUAGCGGUGAAAUGCGUAGAGAUGUGGAGGAACACCAGUGGCGAAGGCGACUCUCUGGUCUGUAACUGACGCUGAGGAGCGAAAGCGUGGGGAGCGAACAGGAUUAGAUACCCCCGUAGUCCCUGUCUCUUAUACA